UGGAAGCAGCAUACAAAGACCAAGGCUAUCAGUGUAAAUAGCCUUGCCUGCUCAUGUGUACACAAAUACAGCACUAACAUGCUAAUAGCUAAAUGUUGGUGUUUAACAAAAGGAAAUCACUAAGAUUGUGCAUUAACAUACAUUCAUAAAAAUUGCAGGUAAUAAUAUUACAAAAGGAAUAUACUUAAAACAUUUAACAAUGUUUGUGACCUUGCAUACAAUUACUUAUGCAUGACAUUCAUUCUUAAAAAAGUGUCACAAGAAUACAAAAGUUGAGUCUUUUCUGCCAGUCUUAAUGAAAACAAUCUGUCAAUCUUAAUUUCAAAACACUGAUCUCCCACCCCUUGACUAUUCCAUACAAAACCAAACUCAUAUUUGUAAAGAAAAAUAAUCACAUAAUGUAACAUGUAACCUUAUUGUCACGGUGUAAAUUAAGUAACAUCAUCCUUUUGACCUGCAAAAAAAAAAAGUUUCUGCCCGAGUGACUCAACCAUGCUUUCAAACACAUUAAAGGGAUAAAAUCUAAAGCUGGUUAACUUUCUACUACUGCCUCGGGCCUUGAUUACCUCCCUUACUAUGCUUGUUUGGGUAAAAGGGUGUGUGGGUUUUUUUUUAAAAUGUUGUUGAGCAUUUUUUGCUCUCAUAAUAAACAUAUAUCCAUCUUCUUCCCUCUCAGAUUUGUUCAAGUGUUGUAAUACAGACCAUAAGAUUCCACACCCCCACCCCUUUCCCUUGAGAUUUGCCAAACACCUAUUUGUCAUCUAUAAAGCUUGGAUAAAAUACAUUUGCAUGCGUUUCCUCUUUUAUUAAAAGAACUAGUUACCAGAUGAUGCUCUGAGCUGCAUACUGAGUAUUGGCAUAACCCAUGGACAUGCCAUAAACUAAUUAUUGCUUAGUACACUAUGAUCAUACAACAAUUAAAGUACUUUGUUUUCCCUUGUGGUUCGUGUUAUCUUUGAUACUCAAGAGCUUAUGGAUAACAUAAAAUUCUCUAACCAGAUGACGCUUUCCCGAAGUGAGUGGGUGGCUUGUUUGUUUUUUUUUUUUUUUUUUGUUGUUUACUAUCUCUCCCGCUCUUACACACAUAAGACAGACUGCGCACUUCUGCCUGAAAGGUCGCAAGCAGAGCGAUGUGAGAAGGAACACAAGGUGGAGAAUUGGGAGACGGUCCCCGAGAAGAGAACAAAACAACGACAAGCUCGCGCGUCUCCCAGUGCCCGCCUUAUCUCGCCACGGAGUGUCGCUCCUUGCCCCCGAGCACCGUUGUUUGCUACAUCGCCAGCGGCACACACACACCUUGCAAUCAGUCGGCCAAAUAAGUACACAGGUAGGUGCGAGCUUGCCAACUGGAAUGCCGUCUCUUUGUUUCACCCACCAUUGCCGAGCACACCGCGCCAGGUCCUGAGCGAGGAGACGCACAAAGAGGGAAGGGAGGGUUAGCGGACGACAUCGGCCUGUGUCGUCAUCUAGCGUGGCAAAUGAUGAUGAAGGUCUCAUUGUCUCACAUCUCAUCUUCCUUGACACUCGUGCAGUGUGCGGCCGUGUCAGGGUUGUUGUCACCUCCGGUCUACGUUGCCUAUCACGUGAUAUGCAAAUGCAGGUCAUAAACGUAAAACGUCGCUCGGUGUUUACAGCUGCCAGCUGCAAAAAAUCCAAGGAAGAAUGAUUUUCAUGCAUGCACACACACAAUAUGAAAACUCUUAGCUCAGUUUAGUUCUUUCUUUCAAUCUUUAUAUUUACUAUUAACCUGUUUUUGUUUUUAAUAAUGGCAUUACAGUGUGCAUUUAUAUGCUGUCUCACCAGUAAAUAUCCAUUGAAAGUGGAGAAACAUCUGCCAAACCUCAAAAUAACACAAACUGUUAAAAAAAUUUUCAUCGCUAAAUAAAUUUUGCCUUGACAAAAACAUUAGCAAUGCCUGGUAAAAUCUGAUCACUAAACUUCGACCUCGGUGAUUCAUUAAACCUAACCAUACUGGUCAUGUGCUAUUCGUUUUCAUCUAGACUUUGAAGGUUCCCCAUAUGCAGAACUUGUUCAUAAACAAGUAUUUCUUGUUCAUAAACAAGUAUUUAUUAAUAUUUUAAAUUUAGUGGAGAAAUUGUGUUUUACAUUGGUGAACGAGCACGAGCAGCUGAGGCUAUAUCACGGCAAAGCUUCAAGCGCAGUAAACAAAUUUAUGGAGCACGAGCUGACAUACAUUGUUAGGCGAAUAUGAGAUUGUAAACAUAUGGAAAAAGAACCAAACCAAUUUAUGACAUCAGAAAAUUUAACAAAGAAAAAAAGGAAAUUGGGAAAGAAAAAAAAUGUUUAUACGGACAACGAAUCACACAUUGCCGAAAAUAGUCAUCAUCUGCUAUGAACUUUCACAAAACACAUCAGAUACUGCAUUAUGGUUGAGAUACUUGAGAUACCCGAAAGAUGCAAGGUGGUCGGUCACAAUAAUGCAUGUACCAUCUUACUACUGUUAGCACAAUAGUGUUGCUUGUUCAUGGCAUCAGCCCUACAUACAGGUCUCGAAACCGAGAACGAUGACAACCGUCUGCCCAGACCCUCCCUCAUCUGCUUGCAGGCAUGUCUGCAGCAUUCGAUAAUGUCAGGUAAAUACAUAAUGUAUAAAUGAUACGGCUGCGCUGACACUGUACAGCGAACCAGAAAAUAAUGCUGUCAGGGGAAAUUUCCCUUUGUUUGCAAAAUGACAUUUAAUUUCUGUGAAACUGAAAUACAACCCCGUCUGAGAUAUAAUGUUUCGUAUUCCACAAGAAUAGUUCUCAAAACACAAUACAGCAGGCUUGAGUAGGGAUCCACCUGCCUCUUGAAUCACUGGAACACAAACAAGUAUGUAACCGUUGCAAAUAAAUAAACAAACCCGAUCUAGAUGAAAUGCCAUCAGCAUUAUUAUAAUUCCUGAGGAGAUCGAGAUGACACAAACAGAACUUAGGUCACAGAAAUGUAAGUGGGAAACAAAACGUGAAAUUUCUCUGUGGCUUCUCUGCGUGCUCUCGUAAGCCACUAUCAGACGCAGUGUUUGAGACGGUCCCCAGCCUAGGCCGCCCACUGAAGGUCGUGAGAGGGAGUGGGGAUGGGGUGGCACGGCAUUGAUCUUGGUGUCGGGGCCAGGAGGACAAUGACAAGCUAUUGUGGCGGCUACCAGCCCCAGCUCUAGUCUCCCUGCCAUGCACGCCAAGUCAGGCCGCGCGAAUUAGCAGCCACCUGUAGAUGGUGUGGACUCCAGUUCCACCUCCCGCUAGAUUCUCUCUGGGGUUACUAGCACACAAUACCAAGGUGACGGUCUCGCACUGAACGUUGACCUCUGACAGCAAACAGCCCCCCCACUCCAGGCUACCGGAGCUGUAAAGAACGGGGCUUCUAACCAUCAAGUUAUUUGUACCCUGCGCAGGAUCCCCCUUCCAGGUCCCCCCUCCUACAGCUACUUACCUUUCAAGGUGUGAAUACCAGUGAUAACAUGGGGUAAGUGGCACACCACUGUCAAUCUAGUUGGAUUGACAAGCUACCACAUCAACAGACGCGAAAUAAGGCAGGAGACCAAAGGCCUGGAAAGUACCAUACCCAUGUGAAAAGCUGUGAAACCUCCCUUCUCUAGCUGUGUUUAUUUACAUCAACACACAACGAUCAAUAUUCAUCAUCGUCAACGAGGUGUGCUCACCGCCAGGUAACAAUCUCCUCAUUACUUACACCAUUGCUGUUUAUACUAUCUAGAGCACAUGCUGUAAGCUGUAUCGGCCUGUCCUGGCAACACCCAACUAGCCAGUGAAGUGCACGAGCAAUUCCAGCCAAUAUUGUUUUACAAGAUAUUAUUACGCUACACCUGUUCUCUUAUCUUUUUCUCUCAACCCCCUCCCUCGCCAUUACGCCAACUAGAGAGCGAAGCGCGUGAAGAGUGGGGGAGGUGAGAGUGGCUGACCCCCAGGCCGUGCCACCUCCUACAGUCAUGCACGCGCAUAGUCCUUGGCCCUCGAUCGAAGGACGGGGCAUGCACGCCACUCACCAGCCUUCGCGUGCUCGACCCACGCCACUAAGAACGAGCUCUAACCCUUGGGGAGGGGAGUGGGAAGAAAAGAACCGCUAGGUGAUGGAAGCUGUGGUGAGUGUCGGCUGUUUCCCCACUCAGCUCGGUAUGAAUGCUCGUGCUUGACACUGCAAGAUACUUGCCAUCAGUUGGGCAACGCCGACUAACCUACUAAUACAUCAGCAAUGGCUACGGGAGAAGGGUGGUUUUAUCUCAAAAGACGUCUAUCAUCGUUAUCAAUUGUCUGCCACUUUCUCAUCAGCACCACCCCUCCACCCACCUACACACUACAGCUAAACUAGGUCACAGCCUGCUGCAGACUUUUCUGUUCACCCGCAUCACUCAAAUCGAGAGGGAGCGCAUCGUUUGUCAUCUAACGUAACAAACCUUGAAAAGAGGAGGGUAAAAUCACAGCACCCACUUGUAUAGUCUGCAUUACUGGCAGGCGAAUGCUGCAGCGGCAGGGUUUGUGACAGACCCUCGUCCCCACACAGAAGAGCCAUGGAAUGACCUCUGCCAAGACACCCCUCCCACACAAGCAGCGGUGUCAUCGCUCUAAUACCAGGAUCUAAACAAUAGGGCUGCGUCCGUUCCCUGGGCAACCUGCUUUUGGAGUCUGCCCGCCUGGUGAGGCAGGGAGCGCCAGUCGAUGGACCUUCCCUAGCCCCCUGCUGUCUGCCUCACAGCUGACCCAAUCGAUGGCUGUGUUUGAGCCUGCAGAUCGAUCGGCCUUUUCACCAGGACACCCUCUUAUCCCCUCCACCACCACAGAACGGAUUCCUCCUUCAAUCUCCGCGCUACUGGAACCUUCGGCCGGAUCUGUUUUGAUCCCUCCCUCCCCCCAACCCUCGCCACUUUCUGGAGACUACCGGUCUCUUCCCUCCUUCUCUCCCCAGUCUUUCCCUUCUAUCAAUCGACACAGCACGACUCUGAAAUCGCACCAGAAAAAAAGCAAGAACAAAUCUUCAAGAGGAUCCCCCAACCUCCUACCUGCUACGCAAACACCCCACCUCCAGUCUCAGUAAGUCGUAGAACCAGAAGCUGGGCAGGACAGAGGAAAAGAGCAAGUCGCUGGCAGUUGUCCAAGCAACAGUACAUACUGUAAACAAACCUGGCCGCGGUGCUGGCCUCAUGCCUGUUGCCGCCUUGUGGGAGAAGUCUGGGGGAUGGUCCCUGGCCAAGAAGAAAGAGACAACUAGGGCACUGACUCAUCGUGCUGUAGGCUGCCACCUCAGUGCCCCUUGCCACCUCUCCCGCGUAGCUGCUUCUCGGGGUCCGUUUCAAAAUCGCUGGCUGCUCCAAAAACUGCCAUUUCCUUCGCGAUCGCAACAGGCUUUACAGCGGAGGUUCUCAACCUUUUUCGUGACUGUACCCCAAAAGGGUGAAGGUAUGUCCGCGGUUACCUCUCGCGCAUUAAAGUUCUUAUUUUCAUAA